rnacentral:rRNA from 1 species
GAUGAACGCUGGCGGCGUGCCUAAUACAUGCAAGUCGAGCGAACAGACGAGGAGCUUGCUCCUCUGACGUUAGCGGCGGACGGGUGAGUAACACGUGGCUAACCUACCUAUAAGACUUGGAUAACUUCGGGAAACCGGAGCUAAUACCGGAUAACAUCUUGAACCGCAUGGUUCAACAGUGUAAGACGGUCUUGCUGUCACUUAUAGAUGGAUCCGCGCCGCAUUAGCUAGUUGGUAAGGUAACGGCUUACCAAGGCAGCGAUGCGUAGCCGACCUGAGAGGGUGAUAGGCCACACUGGAACUGAGACACGGUCACGACUCCUACGGGAGGCAGCAGUAGGGAAUCUUCCGCAAUGGGCGAAAGCCUGACGGAGCAACGCCGCGUGAGUGAAGAAGGUCUUCGGAUCGUAAAACUCUGUUAUUAGUGAAGAACAAAUGUGUAAGUAACUAUGCACGUCUUGACGGUACCUAAUCAGAAAGCCACGGCUAACUACGUG